rnacentral:pre_miRNA from 1 species
AACAGAGAAAACUGACAGAAGAGAGUGAGCACAUGCAGGCUCUGUUAUGUGUCUAUAACUUUGCGUGUGCGUGCUCACCUCUCUUUCUGUCAGUUGCUUAUCUCUUGUU